rnacentral:rRNA from 1 species
ACACAACUCUCGGCAACGGAUAUCUCGGCUCUCGCAUCGAUGAAGAACGUAGCGAAAUGCGAUACCUGGUGUGAAUUGCAGAAUCCCGCGAACCAUCGAGUCUUUGAACGCAAGUUGCGCCCGAGCCAUUCGGCCGAGGGCACGCCUGCCUGGGCGUCACGC